rnacentral:rRNA from 1 species
GGCCUACGGGGGGCUGCAGUCGAGAAUCUUGGGCAAUGCGCGAAAGCGUGACCCAGCAAUGCCGCGUGCAGGAUGAAGGCCUUCGGGUUGUAAACUGCUGUCACCCGGGACGAAGAAUUGACGGUACCGGGAGAGGAAGCCACGGCUAACUACGUGCCAGCAGCCGCGGUAAUACGUAGGUGGCGAGCGUUGUUCGGAUUUAUUGGGCGUAAAGGGUCUGUAGGGGGUUUGCUAAGUCUGAUGUGAAAUCCCGUGGCGCAACCACGGAACUGCAUUGGAGACUGGCGGACUAGAGUUCUGGAGAGGUAAGCGGAAUUCCAGGUGUAGCGGUGGAAUGCGUAGAUAUCUGGAAGAACACCGAUAGCGAAGGCAGCUUACUGGACAGCGACUGACCCUGAAAGACGAAAGCGUGGGGAGCAAACAGGAUUAGAUACCCGAGUAGUCGA